AACGAACGCUGGCGGCAGGCCUAACACAUGCAAGUCGAACGCCCUGGCAACAGGGAGUGGCAGACGGGUGAGUAACGCGUGGGAACGUGCCCUUCGGUUCGGAAUAACUCAGGGAAACUUGAGCUAAUACCGAAUACGUGCGAGAGCAGAAAGAUUUGUCGCCGAAGGAUCGGCCCGCGUCCGAUUAGCUAGUUGGUGGGGUAAUGGCUCACCAAGGCGACGAUCGGUAGCUGGUCUGAGAGGAUGAUCAGCCACACUGGGACUGAGACACGGCCCAGACUCCUACGGGAGGCAGCAGUGGGGAAUAUUGGACAAUGGGCGCAAGCCUGAUCCAGCCAUGCCGCGUGAGUGAUGAAGGCCCUAGGGUUGUAAAGCUCUUUCGCCAGGGACGAUAAUGACGGUACUGGAUAAGAAGCCCCGGCUAACUUCGUGCCAGCCGCCGCGGUAA
rnacentral:rRNA from 1 species